UACGAAGGGUGCAAACGUUGCUCGGAAUUAUUGGGCGUAAAGCGCACGUAGGCGGUUCGGUAAGUCUGCUGUGAAAGUCCAGGGCUCAACCCUGGGAUGCCGGUGGAUACUGGCAAGCUAGAGUGUGUCAGAGGAUGGUGGAAUUCCCGGUGUAGCGGUGAAAUGCGUAGAGAUCGGGAGGAACAUCAGUGGCGAAGGCGGCCAUCUGGGACAACACUGACGCUGAGGCACGAAAGCGUGGGGAGCAAACAGG
rnacentral:rRNA from 1 species